AUUGAACGCUGGCGGCAGGCCUAACACAUGCAAGUCGAGCGGAUGAGGGUAGCUUGCUAUCUGAUUCAGCGGCGGACGGGUGAGUAAUGCCUAGGAAUCUGCCUGGUAGUGGGGGACAACGUUUCGAAAGGAACGCUAAUACCGCAUACGUCCUACGGGAGAAAGUGGGGAUCUUCGGACCUCUCGCUAUCAGAUGAGCCUAGGUACGAUUAGCUAGUUGGUGAGGUAAAGGCUCACCAAGGCGACGAUCGUUAACUGGUCUGAGAGGAUGAUCAGUCACACUGGAACUGAGACACGGUCCAGACUCCUACGGGAGGCAGCAGUGGGGAAUAUUGGACAAUGGGCGAAAGCCUGAUCCAGCCAUGCCGCGUGUGUGAAGAAGGUCUUCGGAUUGUAAAGCACUUUAAGUUGGGAGGAAGGGCAGUAAGUUAAUACCUUGCUGUUUUGACGUUACCGACAGAAUAAGCACCGGCUAACUUCGUGCCAGCAGCCGCGGUAAGAC
rnacentral:rRNA from 1 species